rnacentral:misc_RNA from 1 species
GGAAUAUGAUGAAUGUAUUGAGAAAGCUAAGGCUUCUGCUGCUAACUCCUCAAAAAAGGCUGUCAAAUAUGCUCGAAGAGAGGAUGCCAUUAUUCAUGCUCUAGAGAUUGAAAGUGCUCGUCUCGGGAAAGACCAUCCGGAUUUUUUCUCAAGAAAAGAGAAAGAAGGCGGAGAGCAUAAUACCAUGGAAGAAUCACAUACUUCUUCUAAUCCUCUUGAAGAUGGUAAAGAGUUAGUUGAGGAACUGAAUAGUUCCGAAAAUAAUUCCAAUUCGGCUCAAGAACUGUCUCAAUCAGGUGUAUCAUUUGAGGCGCCAAAUCUUACAAUUGCAUCUGAGGAUCAACCUGUGUGUGGGACAAGGAGGAGAACACCAAACGACUCAGAGGAUGAUGGAACUGAGGGAAGUAAACGCAUGAAAGGACUUGAUGACCUGGGGACGGGUGUCAUGUCAUCUCUGAAAAGGAAGCGAUCUCAGGUGGCACAUGUUCAUGAUUUCUUAA